UCAAUGAUUAUAGUCCUCAUUAGAUGAUAGUAAUAGACGUCUUCGAUUAGUCAUUUUCUGAGAGAAAGUCUUAUCUUUAUUAUAUUGACCAAUGGGGAAAGUGUGUCUAAAUGUCUACAAGAAAUUAAUAUUUAUUUUUCUAUGAGCAACAGCGUCUGAGAUUUAAUAUGUUUAAGUAAGAGUCAAUGUAGAAUCUUAUUUAAACUAACAGAUUAUUCUUCGUCAUGAAAUGGAAUUCAAAUAAGUUGGUUUGCUAUUUUUCUUUUAUAUUGAAAUAACAGCUUCUAUUUUGGUUGAUGCUAAUGUGUAUAACCCAGUAGGUGUGUAAAGCAGAUAGGAGAGAAAUCCUGAAUAUCAGUGGCGGCCAACUUAGUCUCUGACCACCUCUCUGGAAAGAACCUUCUUACUGUAGUAAGCUUCUCGCUUUUCUUUUCAAUAGUCCUUCAAAGCUAUAUGAGUUAUCUGUUGUGAUAGAGAUAGCAUAUUUGCUUGGGCUAACGAAUCAGAGGCUUGAAAUAACAAUAAACAUCCAUGAUCUCUUACAGUUUCUGUGGGUCUAAGAUUUGAGGGUAGCUUGGCAGGUGGUUUUAAAUCAGGUCUCAUGACAUUGUAGCCAUCAGGAGGCUUUUCUGGGGUUAGAGGAUCUGCUUCUAACAUGGCUCACUCACAUGGUGACAAGUUGGGGCUAGCUGUUGGCAAGUGGCCUUAGUUCUUCCCAAUAUGGGUCUCUCCUUGGGACCACUUGAGUGGCCUCACAACGUGGCAGCUGGCUUCCUCCUCUGCAAGCUGUGGGAAAGACCAAGCUAGAAGCCCUAAUAGUUUCUAUGACCUGGCUGCAGAGUCAUGCACCAUCCCAUCCUUUAUACUUUACUGAUCACCUUCUUAUAUCUAUGAGGCUACUGCACAAGGGUGUGACCACAGAGUUGAGGACCUUCGGCACCAUCUUGUAGGCUGACCAUCAAAAGGAUAAUGCAUUAGCAAGGACACUUUUGGUUCUCAAGUGACAGAAACCCAGUUCAAAUUCACUUAGGCUAAUGGAAAUUUAUUGGCUCAUGUAACUGGAUUGUCAUUAAAGUGGGAUGUAUCUGUGCCUUAGAUAUUCAUGAAACCAGAUACAUGAACACUGAGAACUCUCUGUCCAUCCCAGCAUCUGUUCUUCUUUUCAGGUCAGUGAUAUGCUCUCAAACCUAUCACACGGUCAGCACACCUCUUCUCCUUUGCUUUCUUCAGUGAAGAGCAACUCCCUGUCCUUAAUUCUGAUUAGAAAAGACCUGGGGGAAAACUCUCAUUGGCCCGAUGUGUGUCAUAUGAUCAUCUUUUUGGCUGCUGGUUUGGGUACUACAGUUGGCCGUGACCACCAGAACCACCAGCUUGGAGUUCAAGGCAGAGAAGCUUCCCAAAAUAAGUGGUGCACUCAUCCCAGAAGAAGAGAAGAAUUGGGGGACUACUAAACAAUAGCGGUUUACAAAAAAUAAAUAUUUUAAGUUGCCUAAAAGGCAACCACAUAGGCGCUUUUAAAAAACUAAUCCACCCUGAAUAGGCAACAACUGUUGCCUCUCCUCACUGCCACCAUUUCCUUUCACUCACUUUUGUCAUGAAUACACUUUUCUUUUUGGGCCAUCAAUGACAAUAUUUGUUAAACAAGAUAGUCCUUUGGGGGAGGUGGGGUGGAGGGGGCUAUGCCCGUGGAAGGCACUGAGGAAGUUCCUGGGUUAGGGAUUAAACCUGAACCACAGCAGCGACCUGAGCCACAGCAGUGACAAUGCUAGAUCCUUUACCUGCUGAGCUCCCAAGAAACUCCCAAGGAUCUCCCAAGAAAGCCUUUUAAGUACCUUAUCAAAGGUUUAUUCUAAAAGCUAUAAAUUCUGCCUUAUUUUAAUUUGGUAUCAGUGUCAUUUGCAAAUAGUUUAAAUGAACAACGCUGGUGCUGAAUAAGGUAAAGUUAACAAAAAGAUAAUCACAAUAGUAGAAAGAAUGAAUAGAAUAUUUGAAAUCUGCAAUGAGAUGAAAUUUAAUGAAAAUACUAAUGACAUAAAAAACUGAUUCUCUGUCUACCUACAUAUAUGUAAUAUUCAGAAUAAGAAAUAUUACAUGUACACAUGUAUUUACAUACAUGCAUGUAUAUAUGCACAUAUAUAUUACAAAUACAUUCAGAAUAGAAGAAUAAGAAAGAGACAGGCUCACUGCUGACAAUGAUAAAAUAGUAAUGAACCCCAAAAAUGCAGAACUCCUCAAAUCCUCCUUCCUUUUCCUACAUGGAGAACACUGAACUUUCAACUGGAAAGUAUAGAUCAAUCACUGCUAAAGGGGACUUGAGGGUAAAGGUAGUUAGGAGGCUAACAAGAUAGCCCCUAAUUUCUUUAAGGAAUUUAAUCCCUCUGAGCCAGCCAAAAACUUAUGAAGGUGCUACACAACUUGCAAAUGUGCUUGAGGACUCAAUUUCAGUCGACUUGGAGAAAUCAUGAGGUUCUUCUAGUUAGCUAUGCUGAUAAGCUGUUAUUACUGAGUCUAACCCAGAAGGAUUUCCCCUUGUGGAUGUAAAUAAACCAAACAGAGGUACUUUCACGAAGUAACCUCAAUCCAUCACUUCAUCUGUUCUGUAAUAACAGUGGCCAUAUGCCUCAGAAGUGUGGGCUGGAGAGGCUCGGGACAGUCCCAGUGUUGGAGUCAGUCCAUAGAGGUUACCUGGAGAAUAGCCAAUGUCACUGACAUUUCAUAGAAGCUGAGCAAGAGAAAUCCCAGAAAGAACACGGGAUCAUUCAUCUGAGCCAGUUUGCCACAUCCCUCUUUUUGGAACCCUCAGAGAUAACAUUCUCACAGAUCCUAUGAGCAUUUAAGAAAACUGUUUCAAUGAUAGGACAGAUUGAAACAACACAAUCCACAAAUGUGAGGCACAUAUGUCAUUUGACAUAUAGUACCCACAUUAAAAAAGUAAAAAGAGGGAGUGCCCAUUGUGGUGCAGGGGAAAUGAAUCCGACUAGUAUCUAUGAGGAUUCGGGUCUGAUCCCUGACAUCACUCAGUGGAUAAAGGAUCUGGCGUUGCUGUGAGCUAUGGUAUAGGUGGCAAAUGUGGCUUGGAUCCUGAGUUGCUGUGGCUAUGGACUAGGCUUGCAGCUGUAACUCCAAUUUAACCCCUGGCCUGGG
rnacentral:lncRNA from 1 species